rnacentral:rRNA from 1 species
GGGGGGAGCGAGCGUUGUUCGGAAUUACUGGGCGUAAAGGGCGUGUAGGCGGACUCGGUAGUCAGGCGUGAAAACUCAUGGCUUAACCAUGAGCCUGCGUCUGAAACUCCUUGUCUUGAGUACAGAAGAGGAGAGUGGAAUUCCUGGUGUAGCGGUGAAAUGCGUAGAUAUCAGGAAGAACACCGGUGGCGAAGGCGACUCUCUGGUCUGAUACUGACGCUGAUGCGCGAAAGCGUGGGGGGAGCAAACAGGAUUAGAUACCCUGGUAGUCCACGCCGUAAACGAUGGGCACUAGGUGUUGGGGGUUAUCGAUCCCCCCGAGUGCCGAAGUUAACGCAUUAAGUGCCCCCGCCUGGGAGUACGAUCGCAAGAUUG